ACAAAACAAAACAAUCCAAAAUAUAAUGUCCAGUCCAACUUAUACAAUUUCAAAAUAGAAAAAUAUGAAAAUAUAAAUCUUAUUCUAAACUAAUCCUAGGCUAAGAUCCAAUGCUUUAGCCAAUGCCUUGGGCCUUCAUCACGAACCUCCUGUGCAUACAUGAUACGUCGGGCAUUCCCCGGUAAGUAAACACAAGUGAUCGCGGGGCAUUUCCCAAUUAAAUGAAUAUAUUUUCAAAUGCAAGAACUAAAACUAAACCAUUCAACUCAAAUUCCAUGUUCAAACAUUCAAUAAGAAAAUUUAUUUCUAAAUUUGCCUACCCGAACCUACUUUUGCCUAUCCAUUUCAAUAUAUCAUUAUUCUAUCAUGUUCAACAUUAUGAAUGCAUCAAAAUUAAUCAAUAUUUAUUUUUCCUCUGUUUUUAAUCCAUGCCCCCAAAUUUCAUUCUCAACCAACAAUUACUCAAUUCCGACAUAAACUCAACUAAUCAAGAUGCGAUAAUUGUGAGAAAAACUCAAAUACGCAUUCAAACAUUCCAAUCAAAUCAUAUCAUCACACAUGGUAAAAUAAUAAUGAGUAGGGUUCAAAAUUUGGACCUCCAAAUAGAUGAUUUCUGUUGAUAAUAACGUUUAAGAGAGUUCGAGCUUGGAAAAUCUUUGACAAAUUCCCAACAACUAACCAACCAACUCGAUAUCAAGAAUAGUAAACUCGAACAGGUUUAAGCCCGAGAUAGAGGAAAUAUCAAACAAAACGAGACCGAAGUUGUGAAAGAGACCGAGAAACCCACAUACCAAAACUCACCAGAGUUAAUCCUACUCGUAGGAAUCCACUCGAAAGAAAACGACGCAACCCUAUCGUUAUUUACCAGAAUAGUCAAACGAACAACGAAUCUUGUGGUUCUCCCCUCUCCUCGAUGUUCUCUAUUUCUUUGACUAUUUUUCCUCCCAAAUCUUUCCACUCUUUCUCAAUUGAGCUUGAUCUCUCUUUCUCUCUCCCUCUCCCUCUCCCAAGCUCGAUCUCUUUUUCUCUUUACUCUCAAUCUCUCUCUCUCCCUUCUCCCUACUCUCACUCCAUUUUAGUAGAUGUGGGUGUGAUUGUAUAUGUGUGUGAAUAUAAGAAUAAAGAGAAUCAAGUGUUCUCUCCCCUGUUUUCUUUCACUGGUUUAUUUGUGCGAGAGUAUGUGGGUUUUAUGGAGAAGAUAAGUGGAGAAGAAUGGUGUGUGCCUAUGAAUUCUGGUGCCUGAGAGUGUUUAUGCGUACUCAGUGAGGGAGUAUCCCGUAGAGAGAGUUGUGUGUCUAUAGCUAUUAGUGAGGUCUGGUAUAAAAUGGGAAUGAUGAGGUGUUGUAUGGUGAAAAAAUUGAAAAAAUUCC
rnacentral:lncRNA from 1 species